rnacentral:rRNA from 1 species
UACAGAGGGUGCGAGCGUUAUUCGGAAUUACUGGGCGUAAAGCGUGCGUAGACGGUUACAUAAGUCGGGUGUGAAAGCCCCGGGCUCAACCUGGGAAUUGCAUUCGAGACUGCGUAGCUAGGGUGCGGAAGAGGGAAGCGGAAUUUCCGGUGUAGCGGUGAAAUGCGUAGAUAUCGGAAGGAACACCAGUGGCGAAAGCGGCUUCCUGGGCCAGCACCGACGUUCAGGCACGAAAGCGUGGGGAGCAAACAGG